GACGUAGGGCGCGAGCGUUGUCCGGAUUUAUUGGGCGUAAAGAGCUCGUAGGCGGCUUGUUGCGUCAGCUGUGAAAACCCGCAGCUCAACUGUGGGCUUGCAGCUGAUACGGGCAGGCUCGAGUUCGGUAGGGGAGACUGGAAUUCCUGGUGUAGCGGUGAAAUGCGCAGAUAUCAGGAGGAACACCGGUGGCGAAGGCGGGUCUCUGGGCCGAUACUGACGCUGAGGAGCGAAAGCGUGGGGAGCGAACAGG
rnacentral:rRNA from 1 species